rnacentral:rRNA from 1 species
UACAGAGGGUGCAAGCGUUGUUCGGAAUUACUGGGCGUAAAGCGCACGUAGGCGGCGACUCAAGUCAGAGGUGAAAGCCCGGGGCUCAACCCCGGAACUGCCUUUGAAACUAGGUUGCUAGAAUCCUGGAGAGGUUAGUGGAAUUCCGAGUGUAGAGGUGAAAUUCGUAGAUAUUCGGAAGAACACCAGUGGCGAAGGCGACUAACUGGACAGGUAUUGACGCUGAGGUGCGAAAGCGUGGGGAGCAAACAGG